UCCGUGGUCCUUUUUAAAGUGAGAAAAAAACACGAAAACACACACUCGAACAGGCGCUCCUCUCUCCCUGGCCUCCGAUCCCAGCCGCCAGGAGGCGCCCCGCGCGAUGCUCGAUCCGGUCCCACGCCAGUCAUCCGGCGCGACGUCGAUGGAUCUGGCGGCGGGAGCAGCGUCUUGCUCCGGUGGCGACGGCACCCUGCUGAUCCAGAGAAGAAAGAGACAGGGCGUGAGGGAGAGAGGAAAGAGAGGAGGAAAGGAGAAGGAGAAGGGGGCACAAGGUGAGGGAGGCAGUCGGUGGGGGUGGCUUGGACCGGCUCAGCAAGGAGAUCUUCUCCAUCCUCGAGUCCAACUUCGUCCGCAGGCGCUGGAGCCGACAGGGGCGUGCUCAGCCGGGCGUGUGCGCGUGCUCUCCAUCGACGGGGGACGCUCGCCGCGGCCGUGCUGGUCAGGCUCGAGCACCGCUGCAGGAGCUGUCCGGGAACCCCGAGGCCCGCGUCGCGGACUACUUCGACAUGGCGGCAGAGUCCGGCGCCAGCGGGUUCUUGGCGGCCGCGCUGUUCGCUCGACGAAAGAAUAAAAAUAAUACGAAGACCAAAUACAACGACGUAUUUGCCUUAUGGCAAAGAAGCCGGCAGCAGUUGGUGGCGCGAUGGACGCUGCGUGGCUGUAUGAGCACACACCAGGCAGCAGGCUCUAGCCGCGGCAGCAGGAAAACGGACGGCAACAUCCUGUCAUACAUGCAGGAUUCUGCAUUUGGAUAAAAGGAGUCCGGUAGAUGUCAACAAAGGAGUGAAAUAAGCAUCUGUACUCUCCUUAUUUUUGUGCAAAUGAAAGGCUUGCGGAGACUAUAUUUCCGUGGCCUAAUGGAACGGAAUCUGAUAAAUCGAUCUUGGUUACCAAUCUGUCCUAUGUAAUUAAUGAAGGACAUGGCAUUGGCAGGAGCUAGCCUACGCACAGUGUGCACGGUGAGCAAAUCCCUCUGUUUCUCAGCUACCAAAUAUUUCUUCUUUUGCUACUGAGUGAAUCAUCAGUUUUGUUUUGUUAUGGCUACAAGCACUCCUGGCAUCAGAAGAUGGCUAUAUUGGCGAAAAAGACUGGUGGUCUGUGUUUCACUUUUGGACAUCUAUGAGGAGUUUGCGGAACCAACGUGCUAGAAUGUGAUGGUCAAACUCAUCGCCUGUGAUUCAUGCUCGUCGUGAAAGGUGGACAAUGUGACCACGAGUGGCAACGAGUGCGAUAACCCGGGUGGGUUGCUUGGACCAUGCGAGGAUUUGUUUUCCCCGUUGCAACGCACGGGCAUAUGUGCUAGACGAUGACUAAUAAUAAUCUAUCCCUAAUUUUUUAAUAAUAAAAUACGGAUUGACUCCAUGAGUUUACUGUCACAAUACGCUUUUAUCCAAUC